GCUGUAUUCAUUAUUGGUUCAUAUUGAUGUCAUAACCACACAUGAAAUAAUUAUGGCUACAAACAAUGAUUGAAAGAUCUUCAAAUAUUCAAUGCCAUAAAAAAUACAGUGCAUCCAUGCAGCUAGCCUCGAUUCCAGGCCGCUGAGAAAGGCGGCCUGGUAUACACUGUUUACGCAUGCGCCAGAAUUACCAAGAAUCUUGGUAAUCGUAAAUUGUAGUAUAUUUAUCAGUAUUCUUAUUCCGCAUUUAGUUGUAAAACAUUGAUAUCCGUUUCAUUUAUAAUGAUGUCAUUGAAAAAAGAAAUCUAGUCCAAGUUGUGUAAUGGCUGCUACCUUCUCUUCUGCUCUCGCGUACGCGUUAUCCUGUGUUGGAAAACCAGGUCUAGUCUUGAAAGACAAGCAGCUGGAGGCGUUGAAGUGUCUGUACGCUGGUGUUUAUGUGGGUACCGUACCGACCGGCUAUGGCGGCAAGUCCCAGAGCAAGUCCAUCUGCUUUCCAGACACUCCCUUUCUUGAUUGAUGUGAAGCUUGACAGGACCAGUGCACCUCUCUCUGAAAGAAGUGUUGUGAUGAAAGAAGUGUUGUGAUGGUGAUUUCUCCUCUUGUUUCUCUGAGUGAAGCCAUCUUCAAAGUGUUAGUGUGUCUGUUCGACGUUCAGUGCCAUUCUCUCUGGCCGGAAGGAAGUAUUGUUGUGACAUUUGCCGAAAAUUGGUCACAGAGUAAGUACGUGGUAUCUGAUCCGAGAACUGUGUGGCCUGAAUGUGUUUACAAUCCGAGGGACUUGUGUGUAUCCGAUCCGAGGGACUUGUUGCUUGAGUGUGUAUCCGGACUUGUUGCUUGAGUGUGUAUUAAUGGAUAGUGCUUUCAAUGGUUUAACUAAUUUCUUAUGAGAUUAACUUGUCGCCUGAGUGUGUAUCCGAUCCAAGCCUCAAGUUAAUGAAUAAAUCUACACACUACAAAAAAAAUUAAUCAAUUUAACAAUUUUUUUAAUGGUCAAAACAAUUGAAACUGAGGUGACAUUUAUUAAUGUAGCUUUAACGAAGUACAAAAAGCGUCAAUUCAACUUUUAUGUAAUAAUUAUAACAACUAUUUAAAAAUACUUAUAAGUAUUAAUGUAUAAAUGUAGUUUUAACAUUAUUAUUGCUAGGUUAAAACUAUUGUGUUUUAUUGUCAAAUCUACUUAAGCCAUACAUUAAAACAACCAUUAAGAAAAUA